UACAGAGGUCUCAAGCGUUGUUCGGAUUCAUUGGGCGUAAAGGGUGCGUAGGCGGCGCGGUAAGUCGGGUGUGAAAUCUUGGAGCUUAACUCCGAAACUGCAUUCGAUACUGCCGUGCUUGAGGACUGGAGAGGAGACUGGAAUUUACGGUGUAGCGGUGAAAUGCGUAGAGAUGGGGGAGAACACUCGUGGCGAAGGCGGCCAGCUAGACCAGUUCUGACACUGAGGCGCGACAGCGUGGGGAGCAAACAGGG
rnacentral:rRNA from 1 species